UUGUAUCAUGGAACAAAUCAAAUUUAACCCUCAGGAUCCAACGGGCUGAAAAGCAUGUUUUGUGUUUUCAUUUUAUUAUCAUGAACCAUCUUCUAGGUUUUUCUUCACUUAUUACAAAGUAUGCAGAGACUCUAUUAAGGAUUAAACGACAUGGAGUCGGCUUGAAUCGGAUGUUGCUAUGACGAUCCCAUUUUGUGUCUCCUCCCCUCUCAUUUGAUGCUCUAACAUGAGUUCAGCAUGUCAGUCACAGCCGAGACGGAGAGGAAGACAAAGACGUCAUGAUCAGCAUCAACACUCUGCUGCUGCUGCUCUUCUGCUUCUGGAAAGCGUCUCUAAGCAAAGAGGUACAUCAGGAUCCUCCAUGGAUGCUUAAAGUCGCUCAGAGUUCUGCAACAGUCGACUGCAACUACUCAAUCAUCGGAUACAACCAGAUUCUGUGGUACAAAAACCCAAUCGGUGACUCCACCCUCAAGUUAAUUGGUUAUGUCUACUACACCACAGUAACUCUUGAGAGCGAAUUCAGAGAUCGUUUCAAUAUAAGUGGAGACGGCACAAAGGAAUCUGAGCUCCGUGUGGAUAAACUGCAGCCAGAAGACAGCGGCGUGUAUUACUGUGCAGCUGGUCGACACAGUGACUCGGUUCGUGUCUGUCUGCUACAAAAACCCUCUGUGGUAAUCCAGCUCACAAGCAAACGCACACUGAAGAGGAACACAGCUGCAGCAGAGAGCACUGAAAUACAGCAGCAAAUCAAAGAUGGCAGCAAAAAAAAAAACAACAAACUGUGCUAACUGUCAGGAAGUCGGACCGGUAGAUGUAAUAAUCCUGUUCCUGUUCAGAUCAUAAUCCUAAACAAAGUGAAGCAUUAAGUUUCAAACAUGACACUGCUGGGAUGUGCUGUGGUGGCGCAGGGGUUAAG